UAUUUUCACCCCAAGACGCUAGGAAUUUCUGAUAAUGAUUAUAUUGCAGGGCUUUUUUGUGUGUUAUCUUUUGAAACUCUCACUGAGCCUCCUCAGAUCCUUGAGAUCUACUAAGAACAGUGUUGAAGGUAACAUCCCUGGAGCCUUCCCUGGACUUAAACACAGUGGGAGGCUAAGCUUGCUAAUGCAGGUGUGUAGCCUGGGAAACUGGCAGCUCCUUGCACUGACACUCUGGCCAUAAGGCCAGUCCCGAUGAGAAGACACCAUGAAACAUGGUAUAGAUACCGAGUUCCCAAAUGUAUCCUACCUGAUGUUGGCCAAGUCUGGGAAUUGUGCUAUAAACUCUGAUCUCUAUCCACCCCCAUCUCUAGAGCACUAGAAGGGACUACUUCUCCAAUGCUGCCCAUACCUACAGGACUACUUUGGCCACUUUCUAAAUGCUGCCUUGUGAACUCAAGGGUAGCCAUGUGAGUAGCAAAAUGCCUGUCCAAAAUAAGCAGUCCUUGCAAUCAGUGCACAUCUUAAGAAAUGAAGCUUAGGGCAGCCCCGGUGGCUCAGUGGUUUAGCGCUGCCUUCAGUCCAGGGUGUGGUCCUGGAGACCCGGGGUCAAGUCCCACGUCGGGCUCCCUGCAUGGAGCCUGCUUCUCCCUCUGCCUCUCUCUCUCUCUCUCUCUCUCUCUGUGUGUGUGUGUGUGUGUGUCUCACGUGAAUAAAUAUAUAAAAUCUUAAAAAAAAAUGAAGCUU
rnacentral:lncRNA from 1 species